UCGAUCGAGUGAAUCGUGGUUAAGGAAUUCGGCAAAAUACCCCCGUAACUUCGGGAGAAGGGGGGCCCAGAGGGUGGCGGGACUUGCUCCCCGAGCCUGAACGGCCGCAGAGACCAGGGAGAAGCGACUGUUUACUAAAAACACAGGUCCGUGCUAAGUUGCAAGACGAUGUAUACGGACUGACGCCUGCCCGGUGCUGGAACGUUAAGGGGACCGGUUAGCCUCACGGCGAAGCUGAGAACUUAAGCGCCAGUAAACGGCGGUGGUAACUAUAACCAUCCUAAGGUAGCGAAAUUCCUUGUCGGGUAAGUUCCGACCUGCACGAAUGGCGUAACGAUUUCUCCACUGUCUCAACCACGAACUCGGCGAAAUUGCACUACGAGUAAAGAUGCUCGUUACGCGCAGAAGGACGGAAAGACCCCGGGACCUUACUACAGCUUGGUAUUGGUGUUCGGUACGGCUUGUGUAGGAUAGGUGGGAGACUGUGAAGCUGACACGCCAGUGUCGGUGGAGUCAACGUUGAAAUACCACUCUGGUCGUUCUGGAUAUCUAACCUAGGUCCGUGAUCCGGAUCAGGGACAGUGCCUGGUGGGUAGUUUAACUGGGGCGGUUGCCUCCUAAAAGGUAACGGAGGCGCCCAAAGGUUCCCUCAGCCUGGUUGGCAAUCAGGUUUUGAGUGUAAGUGCACAAGGGAGCUUGACUGUGAGACUGACAAGUCGAACAGGGACGAAAGUCGGGACUAGUGAUCCGGCGGUGGCUUGUGGAAGCGCCGUCGCUCAACGGAUAAAAGGUACCCCGGGGAUAACAGGCUGAUCUUGCCCAAGAGUCCGUAUCGACGGCAUGGUUUGGCACCUCGAUGUCGGCUCGUCGCAUCCUGGGGCUGGAGUAGGUCCCAAGGGUUGGGCUGUUCGCCCAUUAAAGCGGUACGCGAGCUGGGUUUAGAACGUCGUGAGACAGUUCGGUCCCUAUCCUCUGCGCGCGCAGGAAACUUGAGAAGGGCUGUCCCUAGUACGAGAGGACCGGGAUGGACGAACCUCUGGUGUGUCAGUUGUUCUGCCAAGAGCACCGCUGAUUAGCUACGUUCGGGAGUGAUAACCGCUGAAAGCAUCUAAGCGGGAAGCAUGCUUCAAGAUGAGGUUUCCAUGGGGUUUAGCCCCGAGAGGCUCCCAGCUAGACUACUGGGUUGAUAGGCCGGAUGUGGAAGUGCGGUAACGCAUGGAGCUGACCGGUACUAAUAAGCCGAUAACUUGA
rnacentral:rRNA from 1 species